rfam:Eucalyptus grandis cultivar BRASTZ1 unplaced genomic scaffold scaffold_9, whole genome shotgun sequence.
AAGAUAAGAGGCUUUCUGACUAGCCAAGGAGACUGCCUGAAACUAGCAUGAACGACUCGAACACUCAAUUCAUAUCAAAUAGAUUGAGUUCGGAGCAGGCAAGUCAUCCUUGACUACCAAAUGAGACUCUUGUCU